rnacentral:rRNA from 1 species
UACCAGCACCCCGAGUGGUCGGGACGAUUAUUGGGCCUAAAGCAUCCGUAGCCGGUUCUGCAAGUCUUCCGUUAAAUCCACCUGCUCAACAGAUGGGCUGCGGAGGAUACUACAGGGCUAGGAGGCGGGAGAGGCAAGCGGUACUCAGUGGGUAGGGGUAAAAUCCUCUGAUCCACUGAAGACCACCAGUGGCGAAGGCGGCUUGCCAGAACGCGCUCAACGGUGAGGGAUGAAAGCUGGGGGAGCAAACCGG